rnacentral:rRNA from 1 species
AGGGAAAGGCGAAAAGAACCCCGGCGAGGGGAGUGAAAAAGAACCUGAAACCGUGUACGUACAAGCAGUGGGAGCACAGGUUUACCUGUGUGACUGCGUACCUUUUGUAUAAUGGGUCAGCGACUUACUAACCGCCAGCUACAGAGCGCGCUGGUGGAAACCGCGCAGGCGAACCAGGACGCGGUAAUGCCGGGAUAUACCCAUCUGCAACGUGCGCAGCCGGUGACUUUCGCCCACUGGUGUCUCGCGUAUGU